UACGGAGGGGGCUAGCGUUGUUCGGAAUUACUGGGCGUAAAGCGCACGUAGGCGGCUUUGUAAGUUAGAGGUGAAAGCCCGGGGGCUCAACUCCGGAAUUGCCUUUAAGACUGCAUCGCUAGAAUUGUGGAGAGGUAAGUGGAAUUCCGAGUGUAGAGGUGAAAUUCGUAGAUAUUCGGGAAGAACAUCCAGUGGCGAAGGCGACUUACUGGACACAUAUUGACGCUGAGGUGCGAAAGCGUGGGGAGCAAACAGG
rnacentral:rRNA from 1 species